GACAGGAUUAGAUACUAGUGCAGUCCCGUAACCGAUGUGAUGUCGAAGAGUGUUUCGGGAAGGUGAGGUUUCGAGAGAUGUAGCUAAAAGUCGAAGUCGACCGGAGUAGGAGUACGGCCGCAAGGUUAAAACUCAAAGGAAUGGGCGGGCACAAGCACAAGAGCAUGAUGAUGAGGAUUAAUUAGAUGGAACAACAAAAACCUUUCUUGACCUCCACAGAACUGUAAGUAGGCAGAGAGGUGCAUUUGCCUUCGGGAAGCCAGACACAGCAUGGGCAUGGUCGUCGUCAGCUGGGAUAGUGAGAUGUAAGUCUAAGUCCGGCAACGAGCGCAAUCCUUAUCAUUAGGCGGUCCGCAAGGGCACUCAAAUGAGACUGCCAGUGACAAACCGGAGGAAGGUGGGGAUGACGUCAAGUCAUCAUGGCCCUUAUGGGUAGGGGUUCACACGUCAUACAAAGGUCGGUACAGAGGGAAGCAAGUCGCGAGAGCAAGCGGUCCCAGAAAGCCGAUCGUAGUCCGGAUUGGAGUCUGCAACUGACUCCAUGAAGUCGGAAAUCGUAGUAAUUGCGGAUCAGAAGCCACGGGAAUACGUUCCCGGUCCUGUACACACCGCCCCUCACACCAUGGGAGUGGGUUUGCAAAAGAAGUAGGUAGCCUAACCUCAAGGAGGGCGCUUACCACGGUGGGAUUCAUGACUGGGGUGAAGUCGUAACAAGGUAACC
rnacentral:rRNA from 1 species